rnacentral:rRNA from 1 species
UAGCCGUAAACGAUACUCGCUAGGUGUCGGCCACGGUGCGACCGUUGUCGGUGCCGUAGGGAAGCCGUGAAGCGAGCCACCUGGGAAGUACGGCCGCAAGGCUGAAACUUAAAGGAAUUGGCGGGGGGAGGCACCACAACGGGUGGGAGCUUGCGGGUUUAAUUUGGAUUCUAACGCCGGGAAAUACUUACCGGGACCGGACAGCAACAUGAAGGCCAGGCUGAAGACUUUGUCCGGAUUAGCUGAGAGGUGGUGCAUGGC